UGGGGAAUAUUGCACAAUGGGCGCAAGCCUGAUGCAGCCAUGCCGCGUGUAUGAAGAAGGCCUUCGGGUUGUAAAGUACUUUCAGCGGGGAGGAAGGGAGUAAAGUUAAUACCUUUGCUCAUUGACGUUACCCGCAGAAGAAGCACCGGCUAACUCCGUGCAGCAGCCGCGGUAAUACGGAGGGUGCAAGCGUUAAUCGGAAUUACUGGGCGUAAAGCGCACGCAGGCGGUUUGUUAAGUCAGAUGUGAAAUCCCCGGGCUCAACCUGGGAACUGCAUCUGAUACUGGCAAGCUUGAGUCUCGUAGAGGGGGGUAGAAUUCCAGGUGUAGCGGUGAAAUGCGUAGAGAUCUGGAGGAAUACCGGUGGCGAAGGCGGCCCCCUGGACGAAGACUGACGCUCAGGUGCGAAAGCGUGGGGAGCAAACAGG
rnacentral:rRNA from 1 species